rnacentral:piRNA from 1 species
UGACUACUGCGUGUGAAGAUUUAGUUAAG